rnacentral:rRNA from 1 species
UAUCUCUGUAGAGUCUGCAUAUCAAUAAGCGGAGGAAAAGAAACUAACUAGGAUUCCCUUAGUAACGGCGAGUGAAGCGGGAAGAGCUCAAAUUUGAAAUCUUCAAGGUUUACCUUGACGAAUUGUAGUUUAAAGAAGUGUUUUCUGUUGGAUGUUCUGGUAAAAGUUCUUUGGAAUAGGACAUCAUAGAGGGUGAGAAUCCCGUAUUUGACCAUUACUUCCAGCUUUGUGAUACACUUUCAAAGAGUCGGAUUGUUUGGGAAUGCAGUCCAAAAUGGGUGGUAAAUUUCAUCUAAAGCUAAAUAUUGGCGAGAGACCGAUAGCGAACAAGUACCGUGAGGGAAAGAUGAAAAGAACUUUGAAAAGAGAGUUAAACAGUACGUGAAAUUGUCAAAAGGGAAGCGUUUGACACCAGUGUUGUUUUCUCGAAAAUCAAUUAAAAAAAGUUGGAUUUUGUAUUGUUAAGACCUUAUCAGCUUACUGCACUCUUUUCUUGCUUUUUUUAAUGCACUUUUCGUUUAACAAGUCAACAUCAAUUUCUUUUGUUGUAAAAGAGUCAUUGGAAGGUGGCUUUCACUUCGGUGAAAGUGUUUAUAACCUUUGGCUUCUGCAAUCGGAGAGAUUGAGGUCUGCAGCGUAGAUCCUUCGGGGCUAGAUACGUAGAUGCUAAGUUAUAGUUUUUUAUAGACAACUUGUUGACUAUAAUUAAUCAUGUAGCUUACUCGUUUGCGCUAUUUUACCUACGCUUAGGAUGUUGAAGUCAUCGUAUCGCGC